rnacentral:rRNA from 1 species
AACGAACGCUGGCGGCAUGCCUAACACAUGCAAGUCGAACGAGACCUUCGGGUCUAGUGGCGCACGGGUGCGUAACGCGUGGGAACCUGCCCUUAGGUUCGGAAUAACUCCCCGAAAGGGGUGCUAAUACCGGAUAAUGUCUUCGGACCAAAGAUUUAUCGUCUUUGGAUGGGCCCGCGUUGGAUUAGCUAGUUGGUAGGGUAAAAGCCUACCAAGGCGACGAUCCAUAGCUGGUCUGAGAGGAUGAUCAGCCACACUGGGACUGAGACACGGCCCAGACUCCUGCGGGAGGCAGCAGUGGGGAAUAUUGGACAAUGGGCGAAAGCCUGAUCCAGCAAUGCCGCGUGAGUGAUGAAGGCCUUAGGGUUGUAAAGCUCUUUUACCCGGGAUGAUAAUGACAGUACCGGGAGAAUAAGCUCCGGCUAACUCCGUG